rnacentral:rRNA from 1 species
AUUCCAGCUCCAAUAGCGUAUAUUAAAGUUGUUGUGGUUAAAAAGCUCGUAGUUGGAUCUCGGCGGUCUGAGGGCGGUUCGCUUCAGAGCGCUACUGCCCUAUAGACCGUAGUUUUGCCAGAGGUCUCAGGGUGCUCUUAACCGAGUGUCUUGCGAUGCUGGCAGGUUUACUUUGAAAAAAUUAGAGUGCUCAAAGCAGGCUUUUACGCCUGAAUAUUCGUGCAUGGAAUAAUAGAAUAGGAAGUCGUUUCUAUUUUGUUGGUUUUCGGAAAUCGACUCAAUGAUUAAUAGGGACAGUUGGGGGUAUUUGUAUUCCAUAGUCAGAGGUGAAAUUCUUGGAUUUAUGGAAGACAAACUAAUGCGAAAGCAUCUACCAAGGAUGUUUUCAUCA